rnacentral:rRNA from 1 species
CAGUAGCCACGGUAAUACGUAGGUCCCGAGCGUUGUCCGGAUUUAUUGGGCGUAAAGCGAGCGCAGGCGGUUUCUUAAGUCUGAUGUGAAAGCCCCCGGCUUAACCGGGGAGGGUCAUUGGAAACUGGGAGACUUAGAGUGCAGAAGAGGAGAGUGGAAUUCCAUGUGUAGCGGUGAAAUGCGUAGAUAUAUGGAGGAACACCAGUGGCGAAGGCGACUCUCUGGUCUGUAACUGACGCUGAGGCGCGAAAGCGUGGGGAGCAAACAGGAUUAGAUACCCCCGUAGUCCCUGUCUCUUAUA